rnacentral:misc_RNA from 1 species
AACGCACAUUGCGCCCCUCGGUAUCCCGGGGGGCAUGCCUGUUCGAGCGUCAUUUCUACCCCUCAAGCUCUGCUUGGUUUUGGAUUUUGUAGGCCUAUUAUAGGCAGCUACAUAUCUUAAAUAGAGACGGCAGUGCGUACUAGUUCCGAGCGUAGCAGUAAAACAUUUCGCUUCUGGAAUUCUAGUAUCUAGCUUACCGUAGAAAGUAUUACUACAGUUUGACCUCGGAUCAGGCAGGGAUACCCGCUGAACUUAA